UCAAGAGUAGAGUCUGAUGUUUUUUCAGAGCUACCAGAUCAACAGAUUUGGCAGCAACAGCGCUGAUUUCCACAUGCUGCUUGCCUUAUGUUCCUUAAUCUGGUUCUGGAGGGACCACUUCAAAGGAUUAAGGUGGUUUGAUUUUCAUGCCUCUUUAAUCUUUGGGUUCU